AUGACUCCCAGCACCGAAGCUGACCACGACCACGACGCCGAGCCCGGCACCCGGGAACCUGUUCCGGACGUGCCGCUCCCAACCAUGACUCCCAGCACCGAGGAGGCUGACCACGACCACGACCACGACCCCGACCCCGACCACGACCAAGACGCCGAGCCCGGCACCCGGGUACCUGUUCCGGACGUGCCGCUCCCAACCAUGACUCCCAGCACCGAGGAGGCUGACCACGACCACGACCACGACCCCGACCCCGACCACGACGCCGAGCCCGGCACCCGGGAACCUGUUCCGGACGUGCCGCUCCCAACCAUGACUCCCAGCACCGAGGAGGCUGACCACGACCACGACCACGACCACGACCACGACCACGACCACGACGCCGAGCCCGGCACCCGGGAACCUGUUCCGGACGUGCCGCUCCCAACCAUGACUCCCAGCACCGAGGAGGCUGACCACGACCACGACCACGACCACGACCACGACCACGACGCCGAGCCCGGCACCCGGGAACCUGUUCCGGACGUGCCGCUCCCAACCAUGACUCCCAGCACCGAGGAGGCUGACCACGACCACGACCACGACCACGACCACGACCACGACGCCGAGCCCGGCACCCGGGAACCUGUUCCGGACGUGCCGCUCCCAACCAUGACUCCCAGCACCGAGGAGGCUGACCACGACCACGACCACGACCACGACCACGACCACGACGCCGAGCCCGGCACCCGGGAACCUGUUCCGGACGUGCCGCUCCCAACCAUGACUCCCAGCACCGAGGCUGACCACGACCACGACCACGACCACGACCACGACCACGGUAGGGGCCCGUGUGCCUUGUGUCCUCUGCCCCUGGGAGCCCGCUGGGUUGCCGGGGCUCCUUGAGCGAGAACGGGCUUUCCUAUUGCCUCCGGGACCGGGAAGGUGUCGCCAUGCGAUUCCUUGUCCCGAAACGCUGGCCUGUGCUCUGGAGCUGCGGGGACGUCCUCGGGGCUCUGCCCGGGAAGGAUGUGCUCCCUGGGGAGAGAGGGGCCGCGGUGCGAGUCCGGCGCUCCGAGACGGGGCCGUGUGUCCUCCCGGGUUCUCUGGUUGGCUGCACGCUGCCUGGGCCUGUCCGCAGGUUGUCCGUUGCUCUGCGUGGUGGUCUCCUAACCCGUGCGGGAGGGGCGUAGGCUUCCCCGCCCCCCACGUCUGCUCCCGCCAUGACCCCGGGGGUCUGGUGCAGCACUCCCGGCCCGCAUGCCUGGCGUUGCCACGGAGGCUGCGAGUGCAGAAGCCUCAUGGGACCCGGCGUGGAGUGCCCCACUGCCCCUGGUGGCCCAGUGUGCGCAGCGGACUUAGGCGCGGGCACGCUGGGCUCCGCGAGGGUGGUGCUCUGUGCCUCUGCCUCUCCUGAGACGUCCUUGCCUUCCUCUUGGCGUUGGCUGGUCUCCGAGCUCCCGGGACAGCGUCCAGGAGGCGUGGCCGCUGCCUGAGGACAAGUCCUCGAUGUGCCCUCUGACGCUGGCACGAGCGUGUUCUGGACCCGGGCCGUGCCCCCAGGCAGCUGGGGAGUUGUCUGCCUUGUAGUGCGGCGGGCCACCAGGAGAAUCUGACCCAGUGUCCUGGAUGGGCCAGUUCCCAGUCGUGCGCUCGUGGCCCAGACCAGACCCGGGCUGGUGUGUGGAGCCAGCCACGCGGGCCCGUCUGUCCUGCGUGCCCUGAGUGGGCGCAGAUGAGAGAGGGCGCGGUUGCUCCGUCCGCUUUUCUCCCCUCUCGCCCCCACGCGGGGAGCCGUCCAGCGGGGCCUGGCUGGACUGAGCCCGUGCCGGACACGGUGCUCCGUUGCCGUCCUGGAGGGCCCAGAGGAUUGCUCGAGGUGUGCCCACCAGGCCCCUCCCCUGAG
ensembl:lncRNA